rnacentral:tRNA from 1 species
AUUCUUGUAGUUGAAUACAACGGUGAUUUUUCGAGUCAUUAGUCUUGGUUAAAGUCCAGGCAGGAAUU